ACGAGCGCAGAACAAAGGGCCGGACAUGCUCCAGCCCGCUCCGCCUGCGCCUCGGCCUUGCGCGCGGGGGCCCGGGUUACCUGCGCAGUUUUAAAAAUAUUUUCCAAGAUCCCUUCAGUGAACAUGGGAUGCUUCCAUAAUGAAGAGAGAGACACACCGUGAUGACCUCCACAUACCAUAUUUGAUGACAGUCUUCCUUGAGCCAGCUGUGAUGUAAAGAAGUUUGUGCUGCAUGAGAGAGAUAGCACCUGAAGAAAAUGAGGCCCUGGAGGAUGAGAGACUCUAAAGGAAAAGGGAAGGGCCUGCUGUCUUCCAGCCACGCCAGCCCCCAACUGAGAAGCUGGUGCCCUUGGUGUGGUGGAAGCAAGGUGCCAUGUGAUAAGUAAGCCUCCAGAGAGGCCUGCAUGGCAGGAUCCAAUGUCUUUAGCCAACAGCAUCUGGGAACCUGAGACCUGCCAACACCCUUGUGAGUGAGCCUGGAAGUGGACCUCCUGCUCUUGAACCUUGAGGUGACUAUAGUGCUGGCUGACACCUUGACUGCAGUCCCUGAGCUGGGGGGCCCAGCUGAUCUACUCCCAGAAUCCCCCCUACUAAAACAGUGAUAUAAUAAAUGCUUAUUGUUUCAAGCUGGUAA
rnacentral:lncRNA from 1 species